UAAAACAAGUGUUAAUAUAUCAAAGUACCCACUUUCUUAUAACAAAAAUAAAUUUUACCCACUCAAAUUAAAACUUAAAAUUUUACCAACUUUUUGUGUUAAAAGACUAAAUUGCCCUUCUAUAUAAAUGGGCAAACCUCUCAUUUUUUUCUCUCUCUUCUCUCUCUCUGCACGCUCUCUUCUCUCUCUCUCUCUCUCUCUCUCUCUUCUCGAUCUGAGCUUGCUGAGGCCGAGGACUGCGGCGGCGAUCGGCUUCCUCCGCUGCUCCAGGCUGUCCUCCUCCCCGAUCAGCGUCGGCGGACGGCGGAGCACGUAGAUCUCGCAGCGUGCCGAGGACUGCGGCGGCGAUCGGCUUCCUCCGCUGGUCCAGGCUGUCCUCCUCCCCAAUCAGCGUUAGCGGACGGCUGAGCACGUAGAUCUCACAGCGUGCCGAGGACUGCGGCGGCGAUCGGCUUCCUCCGCUGCACUCUCUCUCUCUCCCUCUCCCUUCCUUUCUCUCUUCCGGCAGCCGUGGCAGGAGGUGAGGGCGGCGGCCGAGGAUGGAAGACGGCGGCGAGUCCAUGGACUGCGAUUUAGCCUCUUCCUCCUGCUUUUGCCAUCGCCUCUGCAUUUUUUCGCGUCACUGGAGCGGUGCUCGUGCGUCAACGUCGACGCUGACGGUAAAGACGACGACGAUGAGGUUAACGACAAAUCUGGAGGAGUUUUGUCAAUUGCUAGAAAAUAUUGGAGAUUGGUCGUGGCGAUGUGGUUUCCUGAUUUAGUUUCCUGAUUUGGUUUUUGAUUUAGUUUGCUGAUUUGGGGAAAUCGUGCCCUAAUUUGAGAUGAACUUGGGGCUUUUUUAAAUUUUUCUUAUUUUGGGGAUUUUUUAUGUUUACAAGCGAUGUAUAUCGUUUCAAGAAAGGAAAUGUAAUAAAUUUUCUGUAUAAGUUUUGUUUUGAUUGAAUACUAAGUAUAUUGGAUCACAGAUUGAAGAAAUUGAUGAAAAUCGCUCAAUUUUGUGCAUAUGUUCUUGAAUUCACAACCAAGUUUAUGAAUUCACAACUGAAUUAUCGGCGUUGGUUGUGAAUUCAGAAUUGAAAUAGUGGCGUUGGUUGUGAAUUCAAGUUUUAUCGGUUGUGAAUUCACAACUUGAAAUAGUGUGGGUUGUGAAUUCACGCGAAUUCACAACUAACACUAUUUAUAGUUGUGAAUUCAAACUUUAAAACUUGAAUUCACAACCAAUACUUGUUAUUCAGUUGUGAAUUCGAGUUUUAAAGCUUGAAUUCACAACCAAAAUUUAUUUUGGUUGUGAAAUUCACUGGUUGUGAAUUCGUGGGUAUUUGUAAAAAAAUUAUAUGUAAGGGUAAAAUGGUAACUGUGGGUAUUUUUUUAAAUUUUUAUAUUAGUGGGUAAAAUUUAUUUUUACUAUAUAAAAGUGGCUAUUUUCAAAAUCCACUCUUAAAACAAUCCUAUUACCUAAUUAAUCAAAAGCCCAACAGAUAGUCACUUAAGUUAGCCCAUUAGAAAAUUAAUAGGCUCCUCAAAAUUAACCUGAGCCCAAUUAAGUAUUUUUUUGAUUUAAUAAGCAAUUUAGAAUUUUAGAAAACAUUUUAAUUCUUCUUCCUUAACUCAUUCAAUUCUCUUUUAUUGAGCAGAACACUUUUCUCUCUCUCUCUCUGCUCUCUACCGCCCCUCUCUGUCCCUCUCUUUCCCGGCGAGCGUCGCCGGCCUUCGCCGCCUCCGGCGCGGCGAGGUCGGCCUCUUUUCUUCCCCCUUUCUUUCCUUCCAUUUCUUCUCCUCUUUCUCCUGAAUUUAGAAUAGAUCUAGGGUUUCUAAAUUUCCUGAAGUUUGUUCCUCCGGUGAACUCUGCCACUGCCGCCGCCGUACUCGUCGCGCCGCCACCCCCCUCUGAUUCAGGAAUCGGUGAUGCAAGAUGGUUUGAGAUGGUUUCAUCGGCAGUUCAUCUACAGCCCAAGAUUCCCUUUUAAAGACUCAGCCUUUUAUUUAUUGAAUUAACUGUUGUAACUAAAUGUAUUCUCAAAGUGUGUGUUAAAGAAAAUUGAUGUUAUCUCUACUA